UGGAGAUGGAUGCUGGAUCCUGGAAAACAGGUUUAACGGGUAGGGGGUGGUGCCCCUACCGACGCAUCACUCCAGAUACCA
rfam:Tobacco necrosis virus A isolate Velence, complete genome.